GGUAGGCUGCGCCUUCCCAUCCAUGUCAGUCGGACGGCGGCGAGAGAGAAGCUUGUUUCGCCUGCCAGCGAGUGACGAACGAGUGAUACAUCCAUCCGAGCCCUGCCUGGAGUGAGGGAUAACUAAUCGAAAAAUUAACUCCUACUACAAACUACCUGUGGGUGAAAGUGACCGACCGGCCUCCCGCUUGCUAAACGACCGGUCUAUGACUGAUUAGCUGGUGGGGGGGGUGACCGCCCACGAGAGCAACAAUCAGUGGCUGGACAGAAAGAACAAUCACCCUGGGACGGACAGACACACCGCACUCACUCCUACGGGAGGAAUCAGUAAUUUUUUUUAAUGAAUGAACGAAUGCUUGAUCCAUGAAUGGCGUGUGAGGAAGGAAGUCCGUCGGUAGCAGGAGGAGUAAGCUUGUCAAAAGAAGGCGGUAGAUUU
rnacentral:rRNA from 1 species